rnacentral:rRNA from 1 species
GCCUACGGGACGCAGCAGUAGGGAAUUUUCGGCAAUGGACGAAAGUCUGACCGAGCAACGCCGCGUGAGGGAGGAAGUACUUCGGUAUGUAAACCUCUGUUAUAAAGGAAGAACGGUAUAAUCAGGGAAUGGGUUAUAAGUGACGGUACUUUAUGAGGAAGCCACGGCUAACUACGUGCCAGCAGCCGCGGUAAUACGUAGGUGGCGAGCGUUAUCCGGAUUUAUUGGGUUUAAAGGGUGCGUAGGCGGUUUGUCAAGUCAGCGGUAAAAAUUCCGGGCUCAACCCGGUCCCGCCGUUGAAACUG